UGGGGAAUUUUGGACAAUGGGCGAAAGCCUGAUCCAGCAAUGCCGCGUGUGUGAAGAAGGCCUUCGGGUUGUAAAGCACUUUUGUCCGGAAAGAAAUCCUUGGCUCUAAUACAGUCGGGGGAUGACGGUACCGGAAGAAUAAGCACCGGCUAACUACGUGCCAGCAGCCGCGGUAAUACGUAGGGUGCAAGCGUUAAUCGGAAUUACUGGGCGUAAAGCGUGCGCAGGCGGUUUGCUAAGACCGAUGUGAAAUCCCCGGGCUCAACCUGGGAACUGCAUUGGUGACUGGCAGGCUAGAGUAUGGCAGAGGGGGGUAGAAUUCCACGUGUAGCAGUGAAAUGCGUAGAGAUGUGGAGGAAUACCGAUGGCGAAGGCAGCCCCCUGGGCCAAUACUGACGCUCAUGCACGAAAGUGUGGGGAGCAAAACAGGAUUAGAUACCCUGGUAGUCCACGCCCUAAACGAUGUCAACUAGUUGUUGGGGAUUCAUUUCCUUAGUAACGUAGCUAACGCGUGAAGUUGACCGCCUGGGGAGUACGGUCGCAAGAUUAAAACUUAAAGGAAUUGACGGGGUCAUAGCUG
rnacentral:rRNA from 1 species